rnacentral:rRNA from 12 species
CCCAUGCGGGCUGUAGCUGAGGGGGGCCGAAGUGACCAGGCCGCUGCGACUGUUUAUCAAAAACACAGCACUGUGCUAACUCGUAAGAGGACGUAUACAGUGUGACGCCUGCCCAAUGCCGGAAUGUCACGGAAGCGGGUUAGCUUCGGCGAAGCUCGUAACCUAAGCACCGGUCAAUGGCGGCCGUAACUAUGACGGUCCUAAGGUAGCGAAGUUCCUUGUCGGGUAAGUUCCGACGCGCAUGAAUGGCGUAACGACUGGAGCACUGUCUCCACUUCCGACUCGGUGAAAUAGUAGUGGCGGUGAAGAUGCCGCCUACCCGCGACAAGACGGAAAGACCCCAUGAACCUUUACUGUAGCUUUACAUUGGACUUUGACAGGAUUUGUGUAGGAUAGGUGGGAGACGUUGAUGCGGCCACGCUAGUGGUGGUGGAGUCGUUGGUGAAAUACCACUCUGAUUGUUCUGGUUAUCUCACUGUGGACCGUGAUCCGGUUCAAGGACAGUGCCUGAUGGGUAGUUUG